UCUUGUUCUCAUUGCCGGCAGAUUCACUACACACAGGGGAAACAAUUUUAUUAAAAACAAAUUUUGCCGCGGAAAAAAAUGGGCAGGUACGUAAAAUAAUUUAAAACUAAAUACAAAAAUUGUACUUAUCUCUUUCGAUUUUAAUUGCCCACUUGCGUCCGUCACCUGAUUAUUACACGUGAAACAAAUUUAGCCAAAGCUGCCUCAAAACACUUGGAAAACUAUGCAAAACACUGGACCGCACAAAAACGCGUCCACUUUACACUUUACAAUGUGUGUGUUUGGUGUGGCUCGAAUUGUUUAGAACGAAUUGUGUAGAUCGAAAAGUGUCAGCUUCCCCGUUGUCCAUUGCUUUUGUUGGUUGGGUUGGUGCGAGUGUGGUGUGUUAUAUUGGUGUUGUUUUGUAGUGGCAUCCUGUGGUGAAUUGCGCUGUAGCAUUAGGAUGCACCAGUUUCACCAGGUAGAGGGGCUGGAUGCUUAACUCAUUUAAACACUACGCAUUUGCACACACCACACAUCAUAGUUCUCAUCAUCGAGUUUUUCAAUUUGGAAAUUAGAAUUCAUUUUUAAUAGAAGUUUGCUAGGCGAACGACGGAUUUUUUUAUUUUUUACUUAUCUAACUUGCGCGUGUUCUGGGUUAUCUGGGCCCAUAACCUUUGUUGGCAGAGUUCUAAGUUCAACUGUUUAUUCAAGACUUCUGUUACAAAAAUGGAUUUCAUAUUUCAAUAGUUAUAUAUGUUACAUUUACAAUAUAGUGUAUUCAUAUGGAAUAUAUAACUAUUCGUAUUAUAUUUUCGGACAAAGUCCACUUAGGAAAUAUGUUACUUGUUACAUUUUCAACAGAUUCAAAGUCAAAUUCUGGGAGGCUUUCGCUCGUAAAAACGAUCGAUCGUGUUGACAAUGAAGACGAAGCCAUUAAUUAUCCAGUGGAAUUUCUAAAUUCUUUGGAGAGGCUUGGUAUGCCACCGCAUCAUUUCCGUCUCAAAGUAGGAUCUGUCGUUAUUAUGUUUCGCAAUCUUCAUACGCCGAAACUGUGUAAUGGGGGGGUUCUGAUUGUGACGCAGCUAUCGAAUACAAGGAGGCAGAAUGCUUGAUUCUACGAAUUCCUUUGAGCUCUAACGAUUUGCCAUUUCAGUUCAAACGUAUUCCGUUUCAAGUGAAAAUUGCAUUUGAGAUGGCAAUCAACAAGACACAAGGAUAGUCGCAUAGUGUGUGGCAUAACUUUGGAAAUACCACGUUUUUCAUACUUCCAGAUAUACGUAGCGUGCUCACGAGUUGAAAACCAUCUUUUCUGCACACAGGAACAGAAACCAAAAAAUAUUGUUUAUCAAGCUGCGUUACGUUGAAAAAAAAAAAAUGAAAUGAUAAAUUCAACUUUCUUUUCAUUUCAAAACACCUAAUUUCACGCAGGACAGCGGCUGCGGGGCCAGCUAGUUUUUAAUAUAAUUGUAUAAACAUAAGCAUGUGUUCAAUAUUCAUGUGAGCAUUAUUUGAACAUUUUUUCUUCAAAAAUGCAAAAUAAAAUCGCACAGCUACCGGCAGGGUACAGUGGUUCUUGUUUACAUACACAUAUACUUAUGUAUAUGAAUUAUAGUGAUAGUUGUAACUGCAUAAGAAUAGGUUGAAUCAUAAUUUGAGAUGAUUGCAUAAUAGCUGACAAAUAUUCCUGAAACAUGGCAUAGAAAAAUGCAAUAUUUAAAAGGAACGAUCAAGUCUGUGUUUUCUUAAGUUUAGUAUCUGGGCUUAAGUUGUCGAUUUUGUAAUUACAUUCGAUGAAUGUUGGAAAAAACAUUACCAUGUGAUUAGAUAUAGACCGUGAGACUCUUAUGCUCUACUCCUGCACUGUUAUUCAUUAUAACGAGAAGCAUAUAGUAGUGGUACUCAUUUAACAUCGUAAACGUAUGGCAAUAUCACAAAUUCGCAAUAUCGUAAAACAGCUGUUAAUUUUUACAUUUUAUUUUACGACAAUCUUGCAAAUAUGCGAGACCGUUUUCAGUGGCAACCAUAGCAUUUUGCGCAAUUCGCAAUCAGCUGGAAGCGUCUAUUUGGUGUUUUAAAAGAAAUGGAAGCGGAAAAAAAAAAGAUUAUGGCUAAACGGCACAUUUCGUUGGCCAAACGAAAGACCUUUUGAUAAAUCUAGUGAACGCAAUAAAAGAAAAUCCGGACCAUUUUGAGGUAAUAUUAAUAUAUUUUUUGUCAUUUCAUCAUUUUACAUUUUACGAUCUGCUUUUAGAAACCAACAGCCCAAAGGUUUUACAACAAAAUUUGAGAAAAAGCUGCAAGUUUAAUGAAUAUAACGAGGAAUAAAAUGGGGCAUUUGAAAACGGCUCUUUUAUCUGCGCUCAAGUGGAAAGGCCAGACUGGUACAGGCUUACUUGAAAGUGGUGAUCCUCAUAGUGUGGAAGAAUACAUGAAAAGAAUAUGUCCUUUUUAUAAAGACCUUCACGUGAUAUUUGGACGUUGCAUAAGUGUUCAGCCACCAGCGAUUUAUCAAUCAACAGAGUUGCUGUCAGCGUUGGACGAUACAUAUACAGAAUAUAUUACCCCAGAGAUAGACCCCGACACAAGUUCUUCGAGUCCGUUACCCAGUCCGUGCGUUAUUAUGUAUCCGUCUGCAGAUGAAGUAGUUAGUCCGUCAGCUAAUUUUGCAUGCACAUCUACACCAAGAAGAACAUAAAAAAAAUCUCAUAGUAGUUCAAAUCCAUUUUCAUUACUUUUCGAAAUCCAAAAUAAGAAGUUGGAACUAGAAGGAAAAAAUUGGAAUUUGGGAAAGAGAGAGAGGAAAACAAUUUCCAAUUGUAAAAAUUAUGGUUGGAGAAAGAAAUGGAAGUAGAAAUGGAAAAAGUCAGAUUGGAACACGAAUCAUUGAAAAGCUUAAAUAGCUCAUAAGUUGCCAAAAUGUAAUCACCUGUAUUCCAAUAUAAGAUUUUUUCCAUUUUGACUUUUUCUUAUUAAUACAUUUGUAGGUUUGUUUUACUUAUAGUGACUUAGUAAAUAUGAUGCACCUUGCUUUUUUUUUACUUUAUCCGUAUUAAGUUAUUUCUAGUUAAAUAAUUUGUGUUACUUGUUUAUGUAAAGAAAUUGAAUAUUAUUUGAAAAAAUAAAUAAGAAAAGAAUUUUUAAAUUAAGAUAUUUAUUGAUUAAACAAUUGUUCAAAGAUUUGUCGUCGCCUUAUCUCCCCUUCAUUGGUACGAGCAUUUGGUUCCCAUAACGACUCGUCAAUACUGUGGUCCGAUUCCUCAGGUUGGUAAUCGAAAUAAUGGUCUUGUUGGAGUAUAAAGUUGUGUAACAAUGCACAAAAGAGAAUCCUUUUGUAAACUUUCCUCAUACCAUUUUCAUUUUUUAUUUGGAGGCUUUUAAACUACCAAAUCUUUCCUUCAGCAUUCCAAAACAAUGUUCAAUUCGAAUUCUAUAUCGACUGAAUGUUUUGUUAAAAAAAUCCUUUGGCUUAGUGUUGAAUUUCUAUAAUUUUCUCUAAAAGGCGUUAUAACAGUACUCGAAAAUUCAUAUGCACUGUAUGCACUGUCACCUGCAAUUCAUUCACCUUCUCUGAAAAAAUUGUGUGCUUCAAGAACCGAUUCUUAUUCUACUUCGACUACUGAAGAUCGAUUCCGAAAAAUCGAUUAUUUAACGAGAAAACUCGAUUCUCGAGUAGAAUCGGAAUCGAAUUUACCAUCCCUACUGGUAGCCAUCGCGUGAGUUAAGGAACGUAUUGCUUAUAAUAGUAGCAAACAACAAAACAACCUUUAGUUUCAGUAAACAGAAUGUAUCAAAACAACCUUGAGUUGGAACAAUUGAAAUGCAGUAUCACUACAACAAACAAUCCUAAACAAAGAAGUAUCAAAACAACAUUGGCCUUAUCUUAAAACAAAGAAAAUGUAUCUAAGCAAACAAUAUACAAUAUAUGUAAACAAAUCUAAACAAUAAUAUAAUCUGUAAACAAACUAACAACUAGUAAUAAGUAAACAUACUAGUUAGUAUAAAUAGAAGUAAGAACCAUGUAAUAAGUUAGUCUUAAGAGUAUAAAUAAAGAGUACACAUUUCGGUGCAGCUCAAAAUAUAUUCUUUUGACUCAUUUUUACUUCUGGUAAAAAUUAACUCGUGCACAUAUAAAACAUACACUUUAUUGUUAUUUAUAUGUAGUUAAAUGUACACUCAAUAUAGUGAGGUGCAGCUACCACUGCGUUAAUUAAAAUGAAAAUAUCCGGUUUAUAGUUGUGUACACUUUAUUUUUUCCAACAAUUUUAUUUACAUCACUAAAUUAAUAUUUUAUAAUAUAUAGUUUGUAAAUAUAAUCCAGGGGAAGGGCGACGAGAUUCCAAUUCCGAGCGUUAUUUGCCAGCGGUGGCGAUCGAGUUGACGCGGAUUCGUAUGUUAGCGAAGGUUGAAGGUCGGAAUGUAUAUGACCAAGUGAGUCGAAUUACAAAAACGUUAGUAUAUCAAUUUAACUUUCGCCAAUAUCCCGAUUCCCCUCCAGCUGAUCGAGUAUAAUAAAAACAUUACCAAUAAACAGAUGUGCGAAGCGGUGUAACAACCGAAUCAGCUGUUCAAACGAUGUUAUUGCAAAACGGGCGGGAUGAAUCCCAAAACAAAAAGUGAUAAAAUGGAAUGUUCAAUGUUUCCCGUUUUCCAUUCUCUUUGAUGAGUUUGUUGGUGUAUAGGCCUGGUGAGUUGUGUUGUGGUGUUCUCAGCUGUGGUGAACUAAGCUGUCUUAUUAGGGUGCGCCGGUUUUUGCGGAUAGAGUGGGCGGAUGCUUAACUCAUUUAAACA